rnacentral:rRNA from 1 species
AUGCCCAAAGAGAUCGCCCCACACAUCUAUGAGGCCUCCAGGAGAAAGAACUGGAAGGUUAGGGAGGCUAUUAGAGGGAACGCUUGGAUCUUCAAAAUCAUCUACAACACCGUCAUCACCGGAGAUCACAUUCGUGAGUUUUUCACUCUUUCGAUGCUUCUGGAUGACGUCCAUCUUGAUGAGCAUCGGGAGGACGACAUCACCUGGAAGCAUUCCAAUGAUGGGGUGUACUCGACAGCCAGUGCUUAUAAAGCUCAAUUUCUUGGGUUAACCUUGUCACCAAUGGAUCGCAUGGUCUGGAAAGUUUGGGCUCCUCCGAAGAUCAAAUUCUUUGCCUGGUUGGCUAUCCAAGAUAGGAUCUGGACUGCGGACCGCCUGGAGAGGCGCGGGUGGGCCAACUGCGGUCUGUGCCCUCUUUGUUCUAGGGAGCAGGAAACAGGUGCUCAUCUUCUCUUCAAGUGCCGCUUCACUAUUCGGCUUUGGAGGUCUCUCGCGGCCAAGCUCGGUCUUCAUCACAUUGAGACCUCCAGGUGGCAUCUUCAUGGCUCCGUCCUAGAUUGGUGGGAGGAUGGUACUGGGAGCCACGUCCCCAACAGGAGUGCCCUGGCCUCCCUAACCCUCCUUGUCUCCUGGACCAUCUGGAAUGAACAUAAUGCUAGGGUGUUCCGACACAAAAGUGCUCCGCCGCCUAUUCUUCUUAACACAAUCCUGGAGGAGGCCAAGCUUUGGGUUACAGCUGGAGCAAAGAAACUAGGGCGUAUUGUAUAUCGAGAGUAG